rnacentral:lncRNA from 1 species
CUGGCCUCUGUGUGCAUGUAUGUGUGUUUGCAUCUGUAGGUAUUAUUUGGGAUUUUCUAUGCAUAGGAUCACACCAUCUGCAAAUUGAGAUCAUUUUGUUUUCUGUUCAAAAAUACUUUUUCUCAUGUUUAUUUUUAAAAGAUAAUUUGGCCAGGUGUAGAAUUGUAGGUGACAGUUUUUCUUUUUUUAAGUUCUUUAUUGCAAACUUCUUGUUUGUAUGAGAAAUCUUAUGCCAUCCUUAUAUUUAGUGCUCUGUAUGUAACAUGUUCUUUCCCUUUUUAUUCCUUUUAGGAUUUCCUUUUUAUCACUGGUUUUGAUGGAUUUGAUUAAGGCGUUCCUUGGUGAAGUUUUCUUCAUGUUUCUUGUUCUUAGAAUAAUCAUAUUUCUGUAAUAUUUGAAGUUUAUGGUUUCCAUGGAGCUUCUAAAUCUUUCAUCCAGUAUGUUUUAAAUAUCUUUGUCUCUCUUCUCCACUACACGCCCUUCAGGGAUUCCAUUUAGCCCUAUACUGGGGGGUUUAAAGUUUUGAUGCCGAUGGUGUUUUUAUGUUUUCAAGUCAUUUGUUACUGUGUGUUUCAUUUAUGUUAGUUUCAACUUCUAUUCCUUCUAGUUCAAUAAUCUUCUCUUCUGCAAUGUUUAAUCCACUGCCUUCUUCCAUUUCAGACUGUAAAUCAUACUUUUUAUCUACAGAAUUUGAUAUUUAAAAAAUCUUCAACCUCCCCAUUUAAUUAAAAUACAAUUAUACUAACUGCUCUAAUGUCCUUUUCUUCUAUGUCCAACAUGUCUGUCAAUUUCAACUAGAUUAUUAGAUUCUUCAUUAUGUGUCAUGUUUUCCUGCUUCUUUGGCUGCUUGAUAUUCUUUUAUUUUU